GNNNAANANCUGCNNGUCGACGAUUCCUACGGGAGGCAGCAGUGGGGAAUUUUGGACAAUGGGGGAAACCCUGAUCCAGCCAUGCCGCGUGCGGGAAGAAGGCCUUCGGGUUGUAAACCGCUUUUGGCAGGAACGAAACGGCGCGCGCCAAUACCGCGCGCUAAUGACGGUACCUGCAGAAUAAGCACCGGCUAACUACGUGCCAGCAGCCGCGGUAAUACGUAGGGUGCAAGCGUUAAUCGGAAUUACUGGGCGUAAAGCGUACGCAGGCGGCUGUGCAAGACAGGUGUGAAAUCCCCGGGCCCAACCUGGGAACUGCAUUUGUGACUGCAUGGCUAGAGUCCGUAAGAGGGGGGUGGAAUUCCACGUGUAGCAGUGAAAUGCGUAGAGAUGUGGAGGAACACCGAUGGCGAAGGCAGCCCCCUGGGAUGAGACUGACGCUCAUGUACGAAAGCGUGGGGAGCAAACAGGAUUAGAUACCCUGGUAGUCCACGCCCUAAACGAUGUCAACUAGGUGUUGGGUGGGUAAAACCAUUUAGUACCGUAGCUAACGCGUGAAGUUGACCGCCUGGGGAGUACGGCCGCAAGGUUAAAACUCAAAGGAAUUGACGG
rnacentral:rRNA from 1 species